rnacentral:lncRNA from 1 species
GUUACUCUCAUGCUCAUGUGUUAAUUUGUGUUGUUUUCCCUACUCUUUGCUAUAUGUGUUGUGGUUGAACUCUGUGAUUUUUGUUCGCUUUACUAAACUCUAUUUGUGCUGUUGAUAAGCAUGUUUUAUCUACUUUUGUGUAAAACUUGUAUCAUCUCUUUCUUCUAAAACUUGUUUAAGUCACAAGUUUUCUCUAGCAUGACUUUGAAUCAGUAUUCUUGCCAUCAUGUAUGUUUGUCUCUUAUUAGUCUUUGAAAGAGACUUCUGAGACUCUUUCGAUGACCUUUUUCUCACCUCUUUGUCUG